rnacentral:rRNA from 1 species
UAGAGUUUGAUCAUGGCUCAGAUUGAACGCUGGCGGCAGGCCUAACACAUGCAAGUCGAGCGAGGUUUUCGGACCUAGCGGCGGACGGGUGAGUAAUGCGUAGGAAGCUGCCCGAUAGAGGGGGAUACCAGUUGGAAACGACUGUUAAUACCGCAUAAUGUCUACGGACCAAAGUGUGGGACCUUCGGGCCACAUGCUAUCGGAUGCGCCUACGUGGGAUUAGCUAGUUGGUGGGGUAACGGCCUACCAAGGCGACGAUCCAUAGCUGGUCUGAGAGGAUGAUCAGCCACACUGGGACUGAGACACGGCCCAGACUCCUACGGGAGGCAGCAGUGGGGAAUAUUGCACAAUGGGCGAAAGCCUGAUGCAGCGACGCCGCGUGAGGGAUGACGGCCUUCGGGUUGUAAACCUCUUUCAGUAGGGAAGAAGCGAAAGUGACGGUACCUGCAGAAGAAGCGCCGGCUAACUACGUGCCAGCAGCCGCGGUAAUACCACAACGGCAGAGUUUGAUCAUGGCUCAGUGCCAGCAGCCGCGGUAAUAGAGUUUGGUCCUGCCUCGGUGCCAGCAGCCGCGGUAAU